AGAUACCCUAUUAUAUUUUAAUACAUUAAGGUACUAUUUAAUUUUUAAGAAACCGAUACAGUUUGACGGCAUUAUUUUAAUUUAGAGGAACCUGUUUACUAAUCGAUACCACACGAUAUAUUUCACUUUUAUUUACAUUUUACAUACCUCCGUCUUAAGGACUAAUAUUCAAAUUUCUCCUAAAUAGAGUUCUAGCAAGUUAGGUAAAGGUGUAGACAAUAUAAAAGUUAUAGAUAGGUUACUUAUAAAUUCUAUUUAUGGAACUAAUUUUAAAUAACUAGCAUAAUAAGGAUUUAUUAGUAUUUUAAGACUAUUAUUCUUAAAAGAAUUUAUUAAGUAAUGUGUACACAUCG
rnacentral:rRNA from 1 species